rnacentral:lncRNA from 1 species
CUCCCCUCUACUCUACCCAGCUUGCGCUCCCCAGCCGCAAGUCGGCCGCGCUUUGCCCGUCAGCGCUUGGAGCUUUCUGCGUCGCUUCCCGCUGCGCCUGCGCGGUCCCGCCUCGCCCCACGCGCGGGCUCGCGCUUCGGUUUCCCCAGACCUGCUCGCAGCACCCUGCUGUCUUCCCGGUCCGGCCCGCUGCCCGCGGCGCCAGCACCAUGCUCUUCUAUUCUUUUUUCAAGUCCCUUGUGGGCAAGGAUGUGGUCGUGGAACUAAAGAAUGACCUGAGUUAUCAGUGAAGAACUGCUUCAUUCGGGGCUCAGUGGUCCGAUACGUGCAGCUGCCAGCAGAUGAGGUCGACACACAGUUGCUACAGGAUGCGGCAAGGAAGGAAGCCCUGCAGCAGAAACAGUGAUGGCUCCUCCUCCUCUUCCCCUCCCUCUUUCAUUGGUGACCCAUAACCCCAAGUCCCAGCCCAGAACCCCUAACCCCCAAUACUUGAAGGGGUUUUGUUUUUUUACUAAUGAUGGUUUUGUGGGUUUUUUUUAAGGGAUGAGUGGAUGAGAGGAGUAAUAGGGAACAGCUAUCCUCUCUUGAGAAGGGGAGGAUAAGUAGGCUGGGAAACUUCAAAGCCUUCCCAGUCCCCAGCACCUGCCUUUCUCACUACUUCUCUGGAGAUGGUAGGAGAGUUUCCUAGGUCUUUCCAGGGCAGCAUGUGAUUCAUUUGGGGAUGGAAGGAAUCUGUCCCGCAUCGGGAAUAAAAUUUAUGAUGCAAA